rnacentral:misc_RNA from 1 species
GUAGGAGUGAGCCUGCUCGCGAUAGCGGUGUGUCAGUCAGCAUCAAUAGCCACUGACACACCGCUAUCGCGAGCAGGCUCACUCCUAC